CUGCCAGAGGUGGCUGAGUGCUUUGAUG
rnacentral:piRNA from 1 species